GAAAGAUGAAAAGAACUUUGAAAAGAGAGUUAAACAGUACGUGAAAUUGUUGAAAGGGAAACGAUUAAAGUCAGUCGUACCUACGAGUAAUCAACCUACUCGAGUGCGAUUUUGUGGGUAUGUUAGAGUUUAAACCUUCAUGCUUACAAAUUGGUGCUCUUUGGGCGUACUUUCUCGUAUGGUAGGUUAACAUCAAUUUCGAUCGUUAUAAAAUGACUGGAGGAAUGUAGCUUCGAUCUCGGUUGAAGUGUUAUA
rnacentral:rRNA from 1 species